AUAUCUCUCUGUACGGGAAGGAUGAGAAGCUUCGACUAAGGUUCGAUUCGAGCGUCAGCGAGAAAGCGUUGCCGCAGGCAACGACCCGAAGGGCGAAGCGCGCAGCGCU
rnacentral:sRNA from 2 species